rnacentral:lncRNA from 1 species
AGGUAUCGGGAGAGUCAGCUGGAGGACACAUGAUGAUGCAGUGAGAAGAUUGAAGGAGAUUCAAUACAUUCUUGAUUUUAGAUAAAAUCUUAUCUCACUGAGUAGACUAGAUUUGAGAAGCUAUAGGACAGUAACUAGUGGAGGAAUCUUGAAGGUGCUACGUGGCGAUAGGAUUAUUCUAGAGGAGAAGAAGAGGAGGAGAGAAUAUUAGUACCUGAUGGGAAGCUCAGUGUGAGGUGGAGCUUCAGGAGCCAGGAGGAGUCCAAAGCGAGAUGGAGC